AGUCUUCUAGCCUUCGCUGAUGGGUUCUGCAUAUGAGUUCAGGCAUGCCUUCAGGACUCCACCAGGCACUUGGUAAUUCUGCCUUAUCCUUCACUUUUUGCUUGAGCAGCGCCGAAAGGUGAGCCAGAGGAGGGAAAUUUGGACAUGGACACAUAGGGAAGACAGCCAUGUGGAGACAGAGGCAGAGGUGGACCUGCUGCCGCAAAACCACAGGGCGCCAAGUACUGUGGGCCACUGAGAAAACUAAAGGAGAGGAAGGAUUCUUCCCUGGAGCUUUGGAGAGGGUAAUGAACUGUAACCUCACUGGACGUGUAAACAGACUGUGACCUACCUACUCUUGUGCCAAUCAUGGAGUUUCAGCCAAUCACAGGCGGCCGGCUGUUCAAACCAUGUUUAAAUAAGGCAAACGCAGAGCUGUAAGCAAUCUAGGUGUUUCUGCACCUCUCGUCCAUUUUCUGUAAGUCCUUUUUCUGUUCAUAAAUCUUCUUCCAUCACGUGGCUGUGCUGGAGUCUUUGAACCUACCCUGCCUCGGGAGGCUGCCCCAAUCAGCAAUUUGUUCUUUGCUCAAUUAAACUCUAUUAAUUUAA